GCAGCUGCCAGGAUGAGGCUGCUGUGUGGCCUGUGGCUGUGGCUCUCCUUGCUGAAAGUCCUGCAGGCCCAGACCCCAACCCCCCCGCGACUCCCGCCCCCGAUGCAGAGCUUCCAAGGAAACCAGUUCCAGGGGGAAUGGUUCGUUCUGGGCCUGGUGGGCAACAGCUUCAGGCCGGAGCACAGGGUGCUGCUGAACGCUUUCGCCGCAACUUUCGAGCUAAGUGACGAUGGCCGCUUUGAGGUGUGGAAUGCCAUGACUCGAGGCCAGCACUGUGACACAUGGUCUUAUGUGCUGAUACCGGCAGCCCAGCACGGGCAGUUCACUGUGGACCACGGUGUGGGUAAGCCAGUCACAGGAGGGAGGGACGGGGUGCUGGCCCACAGGAACGUGACGUCUGUGCCCCCUCAGAGCCCGGGGCGGACAGAGAGGAGACCCGGGUGGUGGACAGCGACUACACUCAGUUCGCCCUGAUGCUGUCCCGCAGACACACGAGCAGGCUGGCCGUCCUCAGGAUCAGCCUGCUUGGCAGGAGCUGGUUGCUGCCUCCCGGGACGCUGGACCAGUUCAUCUGCCUGGGCAGAGCUCAGGGCCUCUCGGAUGACAACAUUGUCUUCCCAGAUGUGACUGGUAACAUGGCUCACCUGCAGGCAUGCUGGGCAGUAGGCACGGGGCCCGCAGGAAUGAGUUUGGUUGACCCUAGAGGAGCUGGACCCAGUGUCUACCCAGGGAGCUCAGCCCCAGCCUGCGCUCAGGGGUUUCCAGGCUCCUGGGUCCCUGUGCUCAACCCAGGCUCUGAGCCACCUCCUGCCGCCCCGGGUCCCCUGUCCUGGGCCACCUCCUCCCACCCCGGGUCUCCUGUCCUGGGCCACCUCCUCUCACCCCAGGUCCCCUGUCCCGGGCCAUCUCCUCCCUCUGGGUCCCCUGUCCUGGGCCACCUCCUCCCUUCACCCAUCCCUGCUCACAAGGAGCUUGGACUCAUCCCAGGAGGUGCCCUGGACCUCAGCAGCCUGCCCUGGGUGGCAGCCCCAGCCUGACCACUCAGACAGCCGCGGCCCCCAAGGCCUGACUCUUCUUGUGGGAGGGCGAGGUCAGCCUGAGCCCCUCCUCUUCCUGGAGGGAUGCCCACCGUGCCCUUUUGAUUCCCGCCUCUGGUCCUUUACAUGGGCAUAACCACAUGCACACACACUCACGCAUGAGCAAACGUGUACAGACUGGCACAUGCCUCCACAUGCGAACACCCACUUACACACGCGCCACUCACACUGGCACACAUGCUGUCUACCCGUGCACAGGCACACGUGCUGGUCUGCACACACCUGCACACACCUGCACACUCGCUAUGCCAGGCCUCCUGGGUCUGCAGUGAGUCUGGGGGCCCAUGGGGACAGGGACAGGUGAGGGGCUUCCUGAGGACCUGGGGCUGUUGGGAGCCGCUGUGGGCCACAUCUUCUGCCCCUUCUCAGCCUCCCUCACCCCAGCCCCUUCCCCUAGACCCACUGCUGGUCCCCUUUCUCCCUCCUGCUUCUCACCCGAAGCCACCUGCCCCUCCUUUGUGCCCUCCCUUGCUUCCUCCUGGGCUCCGUCCCCUGCUCCCCCUUUGUCCUCCAUCCCGACUCCAUCUCCCCCACCAGGCUGGUCACCCCAGGCCAGCGUCUGUUGAAGGAUGAAGCAGCUCCUGUCCGGCCCAGCCCUGCCUCACAGCUGCGCGAGCUCUGCCCUCCUCAGCUCUCAAACCUGAAUAAAUGCACCAAGCCCAGA
rnacentral:sRNA from 1 species